GGUUGUGGCUCAGUUGUAGAGUGCUCCUUUAGCACAUGAGAGGCUCUGGGUUCGAUCCUCGGCACCA
rnacentral:tRNA from 1 species